rnacentral:rRNA from 1 species
AGACCCGAAACCCGGUGAUCUAGCCAUGGGCAGGUUGAAGGUUGGGUAACACUAACUGGAGGACCGAACCGACUAAUGUUGAAAAAUUAGCGGAUGACUUGUGGCUGGGGGUGAAAGGCCAAUCAAACCGGGAGAUAGCUGGUUCUCCCCGAAAGCUAUUUAGGUAGCGCCUCGUGAAUUCAUCUCCGGGGGUAGAGCACUGUUUCGGCAAGGGGGUCAUCCCGACUUACCAACCCGAUGCAAACUGCGAAUACCGGAGAAUGUUAUCACGGGAGACACACGGCGGGUGCUAACGUCCGUCGUGAAGAGGGAAACAACCCAGACCGCCAGCUAAGGUCCCAAAGUCAUGGUUAAGUGGGAAACGAUGUGGGAAGGCCCAGACAGCCAGGAUGUUGGCUUAGAAGCAGCCAUCAUUUAAAGAAAGCGUAAUAGCUCACUGGUCGAGUCGGCCUGCGCGGAAGAUGUAACGGGGCUAAACCAUGCACCGAAGCUGCGGCAGCGACACUGUGUGUUGUUGGGUAGGGGAGCGUUCUGUAAGCCUGUGAAGGUGUGCUGUGAGGCAUGCUGGAGGUAUCAGAAGUGCGAAUGCUGACAUAAGUAACGAUAAAGCGGGUGAAAAGCCCGCUCGCCGGAAGACCAAGGGUUCCUGUCCAACGUUAAUCGGGGCAGGGUGAGUCGACCCCUAAGGCGAGGCCGAAAGGCGUAGUCGAUGGGAAACAGGUUAAUAUUCCUGUACUUGGUGUUACUGCGAAGGGGGGACGGAGAAGGCUAUGUUGGCCGGGCGACGGUUGUCCCGGUUUAAGCGUGUAGGCUGGUUUUCCAGGCAAAUCCGGAAAAUCAAGGCUGAGGCGUGAUGACGAGGCACUACGGUGCUGAAGCAACAAAUGCCCUGCUUCCAGGAAAAGCCUCUAAGCAUCAGGUAACAUCAAAUCGUACCCCAAACCGACACAGGUGGUCAGGUAGAGAAUACCAAGGCGCUUGAGAGAACUCGGGUGAAGGAACUAGGCAAAAUGGUGCCGUAACUUCGGGAGAAGGCACGCUGAUAUGUAGGUGAAGUCCCUCGCGGAUGGAGCUGAAAUCAGUCGAAGAUACCAGCUGGCUGCAACUGUUUAUUAAAAACACAGCACUGUGCAAACACGAAAGUGGACGUAUACGGUGUGACGCCUGCCCGGUGCCGGAAGGUUAAUUGAUGGGGUCAGCGCAAGCGAAGCUCUUGAUCGAAGCCCCGGUAAACGGCGGCCGUAACUAUAACGGUCCUAAGGUAGCGAAAUUCCUUGUCGGGUAAGUUCCGACCUGCACGAAUGGCGUAAUGAUGGCCAGGCUGUCUCCACCCGAGACUCAGUGAAAUUGAACUCGCUGUGAAGAUGCAGUGUACCCGCGGCAAGACGGAAAGACCCCGUGAACCUUUACUAUAGCUUGACACUGAACAUUGAGCCUUGAUGUGUAGGAUAGGUGGGAGGCUUUGAAGUGUGGACGCCAGUCUGCAUGGAGCCGACCUUGAAAUACCACCCUUUAAUGUUUGAUGUUCUAACGUGGACCCGUGAUCCGGGUUGCGGACAGUGUCUGGUGGGUAGUUUGACUGGGGCGGUCUCCUCCUAAAGAGUAACGGAGGAGCACGAAGGUUGGCUAAUCCUGGUCGGACAUCAGGAGGUUAGUGCAAUGGCAUAAGCCAGCUUGACUGCGAGCGUGACGGCGCGAGCAGGUGCGAAAGCAGGUCAUAGUGAUCCGGUGGUUCUGAAUGGAAGGGCCAUCGCUCAACGGAUAAAAGGUACUCCGGGGAUAACAGGCUGAUACCGCCCAAGAGUUCAUAUCGACGGCGGUGUUUGGCACCUCGAUGUCGGCUCAUCACAUCCUGGGGCUGAAGUAGGUCCCAAGGGUAUGGCUGUUCGCCAUUUAAAGUGGUACGCGAGCUGGGUUUAGAACGUCGUGAGACAGUUCGGUCCCUAUCUGCCGUGGGCGCUGGAGAACUGAGGGGGGCUG